rnacentral:tRNA from 1 species
GGUAGCUCAGCUGGUCAGAGCAGUCGGCGAAAGCCACCCGGUCUUCACACCAUGUCCGCUCGGCCUCACAACUGAAACUCCGGGCGGGCCGACAGAGGAUCGGUUAUCUGGACAGGGAGGCUGCGGGUUCGAAUCCCGUCACCA